GACGAACGCUGGCGGCGUGCUUAACACAUGCAAGUCGAACGGAAAGGCCCUGCUUUUGUGGGGUGCUCGAGUGGCGAACGGGUGAGUAACACGUGAGUAACCUGCCCUUGACUUUGGGAUAACUUCAGGAAACUGGGGCUAAUACCGGAUAGGAGCUCCUGCUGCAUGGUGGGGGUUGGAAAGUUUCGGCGGUUGGGGAUGGACUCGCGGCUUAUCAGCUUGUUGGUGGGGUAGUGGCUUACCAAGGCUUUGACGGGUAGCCGGCCUGAGAGGGUGACCGGCGACAAUGGGACUGAGAUAGGGCCCAGACUCCUACGGGAGGCAGCAGGGGAGAAUAUUGCACAAUGGGCGGAAGCCUGAUGCAGCAACGCCGCGUGCGGGAUGACGGCCUUCGGGUUGUAAACCGCUUUCGCCUGUGACGAAGCGUGAGUGACGGUAAUGGGUAAAGAAGCACCGGCUAACUACGUG
rnacentral:rRNA from 1 species